rfam:Myotis davidii contig66495, whole genome shotgun sequence.
GGUGGUUCUUGGGUGACACAACCCGGAAUCGGGCUCCCUCCUCUCUGGUUCUGGGUGCAUCACCCAAGAACCGCA